rnacentral:lncRNA from 1 species
AGUAGUGUGGGUGGACGAGGACAGCGGGUGGAACUGGUCCUUCUGUGACUUUGCAGCCCCGGCUUGGUGAUAAUUUUUGUGCAGGCUUCUUGACAUGGAAAGCAGAGCUCCCCAGCACAGAGUGAGCCUCCGAAGGGCUCCUGCCCUUACCGGUGCCCUACCCUCCCUUUCCCUGCUUGCUACACUUGGGUCCGGGACUCAGCCUCCCUUUGCAAGCUUCUGCUCGGCCUGUGUGCAGCUGCACUUAGCUGGCAGGGUCAGGCGUUGAGUAGCCGCUCCGCUCCUUCUGCAGCCUCCUGCAGCCCCCGCCAGCUCCCGGGCUCCAUCCCUCACCAUCAGUUGCUGAUUGGCGCCCCCUGCGUGCACAACGGAGGCUGGCUGCACCUGGAGGUUCCCAGCAAUUCCAGGCCGGCUCCAGCCUAGCCAAAGCAGCUAACUUCUCUGCUGUCUCGUGGGCUGAACCUCACCGUUUCCCAAGAGGAGCUGCCUGGCAAUGGUAGCAGGUGAAGGUCAUGGUGAAGAAGAUGCAGAUAUUGGCAAUUUGGAGCAUUAGAUGAACUAAUUACAACGUUAACCUAAGGAACAGUGCAACAGAAAAUGGGCUAAGACAUGGAGCAAGGGGCAGAACGACUCUUGAAGAUGCUGAGCAACUUCUGAAAGUUUCAACUACAGUGCUGUUCUGUGAAGGGGAAUGGGUGCUGGAGAGCUAAGCAGGAAGCAGGAGGCAGGAGGGACUGUCUGCAGCAAUCAGCAG